rnacentral:rRNA from 1 species
CGCUGGCGGCGUGCUUAACACAUGCAAGUCGAACGAUGAAGCCUAGCUUGCUAGGUGGAUUAGUGGCGAACGGGUGAGUAAUACGUGAGUAACCUACCUUUAACUCUGGGAUAAGCCUGGGAAACUGGGUCUAAUACCGGAUACGACCAAUCUCCGCAUGGGGUGUUGGUGGAAAGCGUUAUGUAGUGGUUAUAGAUGGGCUCACGGCCUAUCAGCUUGUUGGUGAGGUAACGGCUCACCAAGGCGACGACGGGUAGCCGGCCUGAGAGGGUGACCGGCCACACUGGGACUGAGACACGGCCCAGACUCCUACGGGAGGCAGCAGUGGGGAAUAUUGCACAAUGGGCGCAAGCCUGAUGCAGCGACGCCGCGUGAGGGAUGACGGCCUUCGGGUUGUAAACCUCUGUUAGCAGGGAAGAAGAGAAAUUGACGGUACCUGCAGAGAAAGCGCCGGCUAACUACGUGCCAGCAGCCGCGGUAAUACGUAAGGCGCGAGCGUUGUCCGGAAUUAUUGGGCGUAAAGAGCUUGUAAGCGGUUUGUCGCGUCUGCUGUGAAGGCCGGGGCUUAACCCCGUGUAUUGCAGUGGGUACGGGCAGACUAGAGUGCAGUAGGGGAGACUGGAACUCCUGGUGUAGCGGUGGAAUGCGCAGAUAUCAGGAAGAACACCGAUGGCGAAGGCAGGUCUCUGGGCUGUAACUGACGCUGAGAAGCGAAAGCAUGGGGAGCGAACAGGAUUAGAUACCCUGGUAGUCCAUGCCGUAAACGUUGGGUACUAGGUGUGGGGGACAUUCCACGUUUUCCGCGCCGUAGCUAACGCAUUAAGUGCCCCGCCUGGGGAGUACGGCCGCAAGGCUAAAACUCAAAGAAAUUGACGGGGGCCCGCACAAGCGGCGGAGCAUGCGGAUUAAUUCGAUGCAACGCGAAGAACCUUACCAAGGCUUGACAUAUACUGGACCGCAUCAGAGAUGGUGUUUCCCUUCGGGGCUGGUAUACAGGUGGUGCAUGGUUGUCGUCAGCUCGUGUCGUGAGAUGUUGGGUUAAGUCCCGCAACGAGCGCAACCCUCGUUCUAUGUUGCCAGCACGUUAUGGUGGGGACUCAUAGGAGACUGCCGGGGUCAACUCGGAGGAAGGUGGGGAUGACGUCAAAUCAUCAUGCCCCUUAUGUCUUGGGCUUCACGCAUGCUACAAUGGCCGGUACAGAGGGUUGCGAUACUGUGAGGUGGAGCUAAUCCCUAAAAGCCGGUCUCAGUUCGGAUUGGGGUCUGCAACUCGACCCCAUGAAGUCGGAGUCGCUAGUAAUCGCAGAUCAGCAACGCUGCGGUGAAUACGUUCCCGGGCCU